GAGAAAGAGAAAGAGAGAAAGGAAAGAGAGAAUCAAUGCCAUAAGGAAGAAAGAACACACCAGGCCAUGAAGGCUUCUAGAGACGCCACUUCUGCCCCCCCAACCCCCCAGCCAAGUCAACCGUGAUACCAGUCAGUAUCCAACGUCCAUCCAUGUCUGAGGACAUUGGGAGAUUAUGUGGAAACCGGCCACCAGAGGCAACAAGGCCCCUUCACCCUUUCCCCAGUCCUUUCUUCUUUCCCUCUUCCACUGUCCCACCCUUUCUCUCUUUUUUUCUCUCUCUCACUAUUUCCCCCCCUAAUUCUGUCUCUCUCUCUCACCCCCCCCCACACUCCAUAAUCCAUCUCCCUCUCUCUCAUUCUCCACUUUCUCUCCACUUGCUGUCUCUCAUUCAGGGGUGGAGAGCAGAGAGAUUGACAGAGGGGUGAAGAUUGGAAACCAGGACUUUUAAGAGGAAAGGGGGAGGAGGAGAGAGAGAGGGCAACGUAUAUAACAUGUAACAUUUUAAAAUGUUUCUCUUCUUUUAAAACUUUUGUGAUUGUAAUUUUUACUUUUCAUUUCUGAUUGUUUAUUUCACUUUUGUUUUGUCACUUGCUUUGGCAAUGUUUUAUUUCACUUGCUUUGGCAAUGUAAGCAUAUGUUUCCCAUGCCAAUAAAGCCCCUUUGAAUUGAAAUGAGAGAGAGAGAGGGAGAGCGAGAGAGAGAGAAAGAAAUAACCCUUUUUUUGAAAGGGAAAGGGGCUACCUAGUCAGUUUCACAACUGAAUGCAUUCAGCCGAAAUGUGUCUUCUGCAUUUAACCCAACCCCUCUGAAUCAGAGAGGUGCGGGGGUCUGCCUUAAUCAAUAUCCACGUCAUCAGCACCCGGGAAGCAGUUGUUGUGGUGGGGGGUUAACUGCCUUGCUCAAGGGCAGAACGGCAUAUUUUGGUUCCAGGUAGAACCCUUUUUGGUUCCAUGUAGAACCGUCUGUAAAAAUGUCUCUGCAUGGAACCAAAAAAGGUUUUUACCUGGAACCAAAAGGUUUUUUUCCUCAAACCAAAAAUGGCUCUUCAAAUGGUUCUCCUAUUGGGACAGCUGAAGAACCCUUUUAGGUUCUAGAUAGCACCUUAUUUUCUGAGUGUAGAAGUUACCCUUCUUCACAGAUCUAAGAUCAGCUUACUCUCCCCCAAACCGUAAUGUACCCAAUAGAGUGGGACAACUCAAUACUGACCUUAGCUCAGUGUCUGGGGACUUCAUAUAACUCCUCUGUACUUCCAGAGGACUUCCUCGCUCCCUUCUCUCACUCCUUGCGCUUUCCUUUCUCUUUCUCUCUCUUCUUCCAUCUUAUACCUGACUAUGCUCCCAGUUAUUCAGUGAGUCUGAUAUUCUGCUUGUCAUUCUGGCCAUGCUGCUGAUUGUAAUUUAUAAAUGACAGUUAAUGAGGGAUUUUUGAAAACAUGGCAGCCGUCUGUAUUCUG
rnacentral:lncRNA from 1 species